rnacentral:rRNA from 1 species
UGUCCGGAAAGAAAUGGCGCUGGUUAAUACCCGGCGUCGAUGACGGUACCGGAAGAAUAAGCACCGGCUAACUACGUGCCAGCAGCCGCGGUAAUACGUAGGGUGCGAGCGUUAAUCGGAAUUACUGGGCGUAAAGCGUGCGCAGGCGGUUUGAUAAGACAGGCGUGAAAUCCCCGAGCUCAACUUGGGAAUGGCGCUUGUGACUGUCAGGCUAGAGUAUGUCAGAGGGGGGUAGAAUUCCACGUGUAGCAGUGAAAUGCGUAGAGAUGUGGAGGAAUACCGAUGGCGAAGGCAGCCCCCUGGGACGUCACUGACGCUCAUGCACGAAAGCGUGGGGAGCAAACAGGAUUAGAUACCCUGGUAGUCCACGCCCUAAACGAUGU